AUAUAUAUAUCUUUUUGUUAUUUGGUUAUUAGUGCAAAGUGAUUUUAAUAAUAAUAUAGUAAUGAAGACAUGACAAACAUAUUUAAAUGGACCCCAAGAAUUGUCCUACUUUGCACAAAAGGUCUUUUUAACAAGUCAUGCAAUCGACUACACGCAUAUAUGUAUGCAUACAAAAAUAGUGGGGACGCGCAUGCGUUGGAAAAUCUUAUUAUAAUCUGAUCAUGUACUAAAAGUAUUGGAUAACUUAUUGUUAGUGAUAAAGCAAAUCCUCUCCUGUCAAGCAAAAAGACAAAUUCAUUUCUCGAUAUUAUGGUAUCUCAGACAUAUACGUAUAAUUUUAAAAGAAAAAUAUAUCGAUCAUUUUAAUAAAUACAAAUAUCUAUAAAUAAAUCCAAUAACUUAAUUUAAUAUCUCAUGAUACUACAUGCAGCAAUAACAAUAUAAUUGAUAAAAAAAUAUUUGAUCAUAAACCAUAAGUUUAAUUGUUUUUUAAUGCUGUUCUAAUUUACACUAGCAUUUUCCUUCUCGUUUUCGCCAAAUUUCAAAUUUAUUUUGCUUUAAAAAAUAUAUUUUAAUAGAUAUACUUUACAAUAUAUCUAUUAAAUAUACAAAUUCAGAUAUUAAAAAACCUUUAUGAUACUUCAUCUCAAUAGGGAUAAAAAUCAAUGAUAGAAAAAAAAUUGCUAGCGAAUUCGGGUAUCAACCCUACUAUUACGCUCCUGGCGCAUAAUAAAGACUGCUGCGUACAAAAUACAAAAGCAUAGCACAUGGUACGUUCGUUUUACACCUUCUACACUCGUAUUCGUCGCUCUUUCUCUCCCUAACGUCCGAAUAAACAUCCAUCUCGUUUCAAAUGUAGAAAGUGAUAUGGAGUGCAAAUGAAACAAGUAGACCUUUAUGCUUAUCUUGACUGGAUGAAGUAUCCAUAUACAUAAUAUAUUCUGCUAAAUAAUAAAUAUUAUCAUUUUAUUUAACGGAUUACAUGUUGCUUACAUUAACAAUUAAGGUGCUUCUCGUUAUGUUUUUGCACUCAAAUAAGCACUUCGUGUGUAACGAUUUUUAGUAUGUACACGUAAUUGUAACGAAAGUUACCUUUAAUCUUUAAACAUAAACCCCUUAAUAAUCAAUACAUGAUUAUUAAACUCCUUUAGAUUUUUAUAUUUAUCCUGUCUACGAAACAGUAAAUGAUUUUGGGGAAAAUAAAAAGAUAUAUAAUACUUAAUACAUAACUCUUAAAAAGACAGCUUUUGACACACAAUGUCUUUACCAAGUAUCAGCUUCGCAGAUUUCUGAAGGGAAACUAUCUGAGAAUGCUCGGUCUUUAUUUAUUCGACGGACACACACUGACGAGGUAUUGUCAAAGAAGGUCAAUUAAAUGCUGGCUCCGUACCAACUGUAGCAAGGACGAGUGAUCGUGAACGAGCAUUUACGAUGAAGGAAAACGAGCAUAAAUGUGAAUCUAGACGCCGAUGAGGUGGAUACUAUUAAAGACGGCCAGCCCCGAAUAAAUUUUCAUGAUCAAACGGACUUGAGGAUAACUAAAGAGUACAGACGUUAUCGACCGUUCCGAUAUAUAUAUAUAAUAUAAAUAUAUAUUCGAUAAAAAUAAUCUAAACAAUUGGACUACAAUGCAAUAUUAAAUUUAUUAUUGUGUAAAUGCUUCGUGAAGAGGUAUAUUUAUGAUGCAACAAUGUCAUGUUUAUGUUGUUGUAAACUAUAUCUUUCUAUGAUAUUCAACUAUAGGAUGGUAACAAUGAAAAUGUCGGUAGAAAUAAAAAUUAUUGCAUUAUAGAAAAUGUAAAAAAAAUAUUAAUAAAAUGCUAGUAAUAUACAUUACUUUGCCAGAUUUGAGAAUAUUGCAAUAUGCAUAUUUAUAAAAUAUGGAUAAUAAUAAAUUGAAAAUUUAUAC